rnacentral:rRNA from 1 species
GAUGAACGCUGGCGGCGUGCCUAAUACAUGCAAGUCGAGCGAACGGACGAGAAGCUUGCUUUUCUGAUGUUAGCGGCGGACGGGUGAGUAACACGUGGAUAACCUACCUAUAAGACUGGGAUAACUUCGGGAAACCGGAGCUAAUACCGGAUAAUAUUUUGAACCGCAUGGUUCAAAAGUGAAAGACGGUCUUGCUGUCACUUAUAGAUGGAUCCGCGCUGCAUUAGCUAGUUGGUAAGGUAACGGCUUACCAAGGCAACGAUGCAUAGCCGACCUGAGAGGGGGAUCGGCCAAAAGGGAACUGAGACACGGUCCAGACUCCUACGGGAGGCAGCAGUAGGGAAUCUUCAGCAAUGGGCGAAAGCCUGACGGAGCAACGCCGCGUGAGUGAUGAAGGUCUUCGGAUCGUAAAACUCUGUUAUUAGGGAAGAACAUAUGUGUAAGUAACUGUGCACAUCUUGACGGUACCUAAUCAGAAAGCCACGGCUAACUACGUG